AAGGCGCUUGAGAGAACUCGGGUGAAGGAACUAGGCAAAAUGGUGCCGUAACUUCGGGAGAAGGCACGCUGACACGUAGGUGAAGUGAUUUACUCAUGGAGCUGAAGUCAGUCGAAGAUACCAGCUGGCUGCAACUGUUUAUUAAAAACACAGCACUGUGCAAACACGAAAGUGGACGUAUACGGUGUGACGCCUGCCCGGUGCCGGAAGGUUAAUUGAUGGGGUCAGCGCAAGCGAAGCUCCUGAUCGAAGCCCCGGUAAACGGCGGCCGUAACUAUAACGGUCCUAAGGUAGCGAAAUUCCUUGUCGGGUAAGUUCCGACCUGCACGAAUGGCGUAAUGAUGGCCAGGCUGUCUCCACCCGAGACUCAGUGAAAUUGAACUCGCUGUGAAGAUGCAGUGUACCCGCGGCAAGACGGAAAGACCCCGUGAACCUUUACUAUAGCUUGACACUGAACAUUGAGCCUUGAUGUGUAGGAUAGGUGGGAGGCUUUGAAGUGUGGACGCCAGUCUGCAUGGAGCCGACCUUGAAAUACCACCCUUUAAUGUUUGAUGUUCUAACGUGGACCCGUAAUCCGGGUUGCGGACAGUGUCUGGUGGGUAGUUUGACUGGGGCGGUCUCCUCCUAAAGAGUAACGGAGGAGCACGAAGGUUGGCUAAUCCUGGUCGGACAUCAGGAGGUUAGUGCAAUGGCAUAAGCCAGCUUGACUGCGAGCGUGACGGCGCGAGCAGGUGCGAAAGCAGGUCAUAGUGAUCCGGUGGUUCUGAAUGGAAGGGCCAUCGCUCAACGGAUAAAAGGUACUCCGGGGAUAACAGGCUGAUACCGCCCAAGAGUUCAUAUCGACGGCGGUGUUUGGCACCUCGAUGUCGGCUCAUCACAUCCUGGGGCUGAAGUAGGUCCCAAGGGUAUGGCUGUUCGCCAUUUAAAGUGGUACGCGAGCUGGGUUUAGAACGUCGUGAGACAGUUCGGUCCCUAUCUGCCGUGGGCGCUGGAGAACUGAGGGGGGCUGCUCCUAGUACGAGAGGACCGGAGUGGACGCAUCACUGGUGUUCGGGUUGUCAUGCCAAUGGCACUGCCCGGUAGCUAAAUGCGGAAGAGAUAAGUGCUGAAAGCAUCUAAGCACGAAACUUGCCCCGAGAUGAGUUCUCCCUGAGACUUAGAGUCUCCUGAAGGAACGUUGAAGACGACGACGUUGAUAGGCCGGGUGUGUAAGCGCAGCGAUGCGUUGAGCUAACCGGUACUAAUGAACCGUGAGGCUUAACCUUACAACGCCGAAG
rnacentral:rRNA from 1 species